rnacentral:tRNA from 1 species
GGGGAUGUGGCUCAAUUGGUAGAGCACUGCCUUUGCAAGGCAGGGGUUGGGGGUUCGAGUCCCCCCAUCUCCA